AUACAUGCAAGUCGAGCGAACAGACGAGGAGCUUGCUCCUCUGACGUUAGCGGCGGACGGGUGAGUAACACGUGGAUAACCUACCUAUAAGACUGGGAUAACUUCGGGAAACCGGAGCUAAUACCGGAUAAUAUAUUGAACCGCAUGGUUCAAUAGUGAAAGACGGUUUUGCUGUCACUUAUAGAUGGAUCCGCGCCGCAUUAGCUAGUUGGUAAGGUAACGGCUUACCAAGGCAACGAUGCGUAGCCGACCUGAGAGGGUGAUCGGCCACACUGGAACUGAGACACGGUCCAGACUCCUACGGGAGGCAGCAGUAGGGAAUCUUCCGCAAUGGGCGAAAGCCUGACGGAGCAACGCCGCGUGAGUGAUGAAGGUCUUCGGAUCGUAAAACUCUGUUAUUAGGGAAGAACAAAUGUGUAAGUAACUAUGCACGUCUUGACGGUACCUAAUCAGAAAGCCACGGCUAACUACGUGCCAGCAGCCGCGGUAAUACGUAGGUGGCAAGCGUUAUCCGGAAUUAUUGGGCGUAAAGCGCGCGUAGGCGGUUUUUUAAGUCUGAUGUGAAAGCCCACGGCUCAACCGUGGAGGGUCAUUGGAAACUGGAAAACUUGAGUGCAGAAGAGGAAAGUGGAAUUCCAUGUGUAGCGGUGAAAUGCGCAGAGAUAUGGAGGAACACCAGUGGCGAAGGCGACUUUCUGGUCUGUAACUGACGCUGAUGUGCGAAAGCGUGGGGAUCAAACAGGAUUAGAUACCCUGGUAGUCCACGCCGUAAACGAUGAGUGCUAAGUGUUAGGGGGUUUCCGCCCCUUAGUGCUGCAGCUAACGCAUUAAGCACUCCGCCUGGGGAGUACGACCGCAAGGUUGAAACUCAAAGGAAUUGACGGGGACCCGCACAAGCGGUGGAGCAUGUGGUUUAAUUCGAAGCAACGCGAAGAACCUUACCAAAUCUUGACAUCCUCUGACCCCUCUAGAGAUAGAGUUUUCCCCUUCGGGGGACAGAGUGACAGGUGGUGCAUGGUUGUCGUCACCUCGUGUCGUGAGAUGUUGGGUUAAGUCCCGCAACCAGCGCAACCCUUAAACUUAUUUGCCAUCAUUAAAUUGGGCACUCUAAUUUGACUGCCGGUGACAAACCCGAAGAAAGGUGGGGAUGA
rnacentral:rRNA from 1 species